AGUCACGGGACAAAGGGCUCCGGGUGCGGGGGUGUCCCCGAGGCUGGUGCGCGGGUUUACUUCCUCUCCGGCCCGACGGGCGAGCUCCUCUUUUGGCCGAUCCCGAAGCCCGCCCCGCCACCGUCACCGCACCGGUGGCCUGGUUUCAUGGGACCAACAGGAGUAAUCCUACCCUGCGGAUCUAAUCCGGAUCGGGACCGGUCCUAAGGGAGGCCCUUACCAAUCUUCCUAUUGUUUUGGGGCCCAGGAGGUCCUGAAAAUGGUUAGCUGCCCUAUUCCGCUGACAAUUCAUUUGGAACUUUUGACGUUUGAUCAAGUGCCAAAUGUGGGGAAUGAAACGUUAUCACAAAUAGGUAAGAUUUCGAUGAAACAGUCGGGUCUGGGCCCCACCCGGUAGCGAGGAUCCUUUCCCUGGUUGCUAAUGCCGGUGACGACGACGGAACUCUAGGCCGAAGGCGGACCUCGCGAUGCCGGGGCCGGGCAGGGCAGGCGGACCACGCGGAGGGAGUGCUGGGACCGAAGGUCGAAAGCGGCCGCCACGGUUACCUCUGGCGCACCUGUCCGCUCAGGGACCACCACCGGAUACGCGCCCCGGCCAGUCGGCCCUCCCGGAAGCUCGACCUCCUGACGUUUUGCUUCCGGUUCCGCUGGCUCCUUCCGGUCGCCAUGGCGACGGGGCGCUUGGGGGUCGGGGAGACGCUAGGGGCCCUCAACACGGCCCUGGGGCCUGGCGACCCCGUGUGGUUCAAGGAGACGCGCGCCCGCCACCUGCGCGCCCGAGACUUCCUGGCGCCGCGGCCCGCGCUGCAAGCGCGCUUCGGGGACGGACAGGUGCCCGAGCGUGUGGUCCGUGCGGUCGCCGGCCUGCAAGGCCCCGGCGUGGCCCCGG